rnacentral:rRNA from 1 species
CAAUAGCGUAUAUUAAAGUUGUUGCGGUAAAAAAGCUCGUAGUUGGAUUUCUGUUGAGGACGACCGGUCCACUCCACGAGUGCGCAUCUGGUUCGGCCUCGGCAUCCUCUCGAUAGACGUUUCUGCGCUUGAUUGCGUGGAGCGGAUUUCGGGACCUUUACUUUGAGGAAAUUAGAGUGUUCACGGCAGGCUUUCGCCCGAAUAUAUUAGCAUGGAAUAAUACUAUAGGAUCUUGGUCCUAUUUUGUUGGUUUCUAGGAUUGAGAUAAUGAUUAAUAGGGACAAUUGGGGGCGAUUCGUACUGACACGUCAGAGGUGGAAGUUCUUUGGUAUUGUUGUUCAUGACGAACUAACUGCGAAAGACAUUUGUCCAACGGAAGUGUUUUCUAUUGAUCAAGAACGAAAGUAACGGGGAGUCGAAGAUGAUCAGAUACCA